GGAACUGAAACAUCUAAGUACCUGAAGGAAGAGAAAGAAAUUCGAUUCCGUAAGUAGCGGCGAGCGAACGCGGAUUAGCCCAAACCAAUGAAGUUUUCUUUAUUGGGGUUGCGGACAUAUCAUAAUGAAGAGGUAUCGUAAUUGAAGAGGUUUGGAAAGAUCCACCACAGAAGGUAAUAGUCCUGUAUGUUAAACGAGAAGACUUCAGAUAUGAUCC
rnacentral:rRNA from 1 species